UACAGUUUUACAUCUCCCAACUUCUCUCUCAUGAAAAAGUAGCUCUGUUUCUUCAAAAAUCUGCCACCAUUGUCGGUUUCACGAAAGAUCUAUAGGUCAUGCCUUCACCAAUAUGAGGCUCUUCAAGCCAAAACAUGGGCGAGAGACAGAGCCAAGCAGAAGAGAUGCGUGGCAAACAGAAAAAGAAACUAUGCAGUCAAGAAAGAUAGUCAAGAAUCAAAAGAUUAUAAAAUAGGGUUGGUUAAAGCAAAAGCUGAGUAUUUUCCUUUCAAUUGAGAAGUGGUGAAUGUAUUAAGUGUUAGUUGCAGUUUCUUGAUGUUAGUUGGGGAUUUGAGACUGAAAUCUUUGUAAUAUACAAUGUAAAUAUCAUGUUUUUUACUCCUCUACUCAUGUUUUUGUGUA